rnacentral:rRNA from 1 species
CCUACGGGUGGCGGCAGUGGGGAAUAUUGGACAAUGGGCGAAAGCCUGAUCCAGCCAUGCCGCGUGUGUGAAGAAGGCCUUCGGGUUGUAAAGCACUUUCAGUGGGGAAGAAAGCCUUGGGGCUAAUACCCUCGAGGAAGGACAUCACCCACAGAAGAAGCACCGGCUAACUCCGUGCCAGCAGCCGCGGUAAUACGGAGGGUGCGAGCGUUAAUCGGAAUUACUGGGCGUAAAGCGCGCGUAGGCGGUCUGAUAAGCCGGUUGUGAAAGCCCCGGGCUCAACCUGGGAACGGCAUCCGGAACGGUCAGGCUAGAGUGCAGGAGAGGAAGGUAGAAUUCCCGGUGUAGCGGUGAAAUGCGUAGAGAUCGGGAGGAAUACCAGUGGCGAAGGCGGCCUUCUGGACUGACACUGACGCUGAGGUGCGAAAGCGUGGGUAGCAAACAGGAUUAGAUACCCGGGUAGUC